CGAAAUCUAUUUGGAAGAUAUAUC
rnacentral:sRNA from 1 species